AACGAACGCUGGCGGCAUGCCUAACACAUGCAAGUCGAACGAGACCUUCGGGUCUUUUUGCGCACGUGUGCGUGCCGCCUGGUAACCUGCCCUUAGGUUCGGAAUACCUCCCCGAAAGGGGUGCUAAUACCGGUUAAUCUCUUCCGACCUAAGAUUUCUGGCCUUUGGAUGGGCCCGCGUUGGAUUCGCGAGUUGGUAGUGUACAAGCCUAGCAAGGCGAGGAUCCAUAGCUGGUGGGAGAGGAGGAUAAGCCACAAUGGGACUGAGACACGGCCCAGACUCGUACGGGAGGGAGGAGUGGGGAAUAGUGGACAAUGGGGGAAGGUCUGAUAAAGCAACGCGGGGGGAGUGAGGAAGGGGGUAGGGUUGUAAAGCUGUUUGAGCCGGGGUGAUAAUGACGGUACCGGGAGAAUAAGCACCGGCUAACUACGUG
rnacentral:rRNA from 1 species